GUAGCAAUACAACUAGUGGCGGACGGGUGAGGAAUACAUAGGAAUUUGCCUUUAGGUGGGGGAUAGUCCGGGGAAACUCGGUUUAAUACCGCAUGAUGUCGCAAGACCAAAGCAGGGGAUCGUAAGACCUUGCGCCUUUAGAGAAGCCUAUGUCGGAUUAGCUAGUUGGUAGGGUAAUGGCCUACCAAGGCCACGAUCCGUAACUGGUCUGAGAGGACGAUCAGUCACACCGGAACUGAGACACGGUCCGGACUCCUACGGGAGGCAGCAGUGGGGAAUAUUGGACAAUGGGCGAAAGCCUGAUCCAGCAAUGCUGCGUGUGUGAAGAAGGCCUUCGGGUUGUAAAGCACUUUAGGCUGGGAAGAAAAAGCUUUACCUAAUACGUAAAGCCUUGACGGUACCAGCGGAAUAAGCACCGGCUAACUCUGUGCCAGCAGCCGCGGUAAUACAGAGGGUGCUAGCGUUAAUCGGAUUUACUGGGCGUAAAGCGUGUGUAGGCGGUUCGUUAAGUCGGAUGUGAAAGCCCUGGGCUCAACCUAGGAAUUGCAUUCGAUACUGGCGGGCUAGAGUACGGUAGAGGGCGGC
rnacentral:rRNA from 1 species